CAGAGGGUGCGAGCGUUAAUCGGAUUUACUGGGCGUAAAGCGUGCGUAGGUGGCCAAUUAAGUCAAAUGUGAAAUCCCCGAGCUUAACUUGGGAAUUGCAUUCGAUACUGGUUGGCUAGAGUAUGGGAGAGGAUGGUAGAAUUCCAGGUGUAGCGGUGAAAUGCGUAGAGAUCUGGAGGAAUACCGAUGGCGAAGGCAGCCAUCUGGCCUAAUACUGACACUGAGGUACGAAAGCAUGGGGAGCAAACAGGAUU
rnacentral:rRNA from 1 species